GGGAGGAGGAAAUAAAUAAAUAAAACAAUAACCUCCGCGCCAAUAAGAGCGAGGGAGAGAGCAAGACGCGACCAGAGAGCCACCGGGGCCGGCUCGCGCGCCUCUGAGAGGCUGUCCGCGCGCGCGCGUGUGCGUGAGUGUGGAUUUGCCUGGACGGGAGCUGGAAAGUCCAAACUAAACGUGUUGCUCUCGCCGGGUGCCGAGGCCGCGGCGGAGGCUGCCCAACUUCCCCCGGCCAAGUGAGUGGCGUUGCCAGCGCCUUUGGCGAGGCGGCGGCCGCUCGGCCCUGCGCCCGGGCACUGCGGCGGCGGCUCCGCUCGCCCCGGGAGGGAGCCCGCGGCCAGGGCUGGACUCUCGCCCCGCCACCUCCACCGACUCUCUCCUCAGCCUCCACGCCUGGCACCCCAGCAAGGUCUUACCUUCCGGGGGUGUCCUUCAUUAUGAUGUUCCCUGUGAUGCUGGUAAUGGUUUUCCUUGCUCCUUCUGCACGGAAGGACGUACAAGUUUGCAGGAGAAGGUACAUGAAAAGCAGGUGAAGUUUGCAGCCACUUGACUCCAAGAGAGGAGUAACCCUUUCUUUGCAGUAGUAGCUAUGGUUUUGAAGCAGCGGCGGUGACGGCAGCGGUGACAGCGGCCUGGCCGGUGGCGGCAGCUGCACGUUGUCCCCUCUGUGUCUGGGAGAAGGAGAAAAAGUGGGGCUGCCUCGUCGGAGAGCGCAACUCGGGAGCUGCCUGCAAAGACGCUGUGGGGGAAAAUGCUAAGGGCUCCCAGAUCCUUGGUAAAUCGUGUUUGGAGAGGCAUGAUUUCCUUUUGUGAUAUUUAUGUGCUUAAUAACAGACACGCUUAAAAAUCUCUUUAAAACUUUUAUGCAUACGAUGUCCAUUUCUAGAUUAGGUGAACGACUCUGAAACCUCUUAGAUAAAUGCCAAAAUCAGUAAGAUCUGAGCGGUGUGCAAACCUGCAAUGAAUUGCCCAGUGCCUUCUUGUUUGUAAUGUAUCACCUACUGGGAAACGUAUCUUCCGUGCCAUACUAUUUUAGUAAUAGUUAUAGGUUCAUUAUUUUUUUUUUUGUCUUACGGUGAAGUAGGAAGUUUUUAGUGAAACGAAAAUUUAGAAGUCAUAGUAAGUUUCCAAGCAACGUGCUUGAGCCUUUUGAAGCCACCUGCUGAAUUAGUUCAUGUUACUUUUCAGAGGUUACCACUUUGGUGCAGGAGAUGUAGACAUAUCCAGCAGUGGAACCUGCAUAACACUCAUUUAUCCCAAUGUAAUCACAAAGAGGCCAAAUAAAUGUGUAUGGAGCUCACUUUAGGGGAGACACUGGUUUUACUGUCAUAUUUGGAAAAAAUUUUGUGUCUACUGAAAUAUGAUUGGAAUAUAUCUGUAGAAACUUCAAUUCUUUAGGCUUCUUUUUCAUUCAUAAAGCAUUUGAAAAUAGUUUUUGUGCAUAUUAGAGUAUAGGAUGAUUCAUUCAUGUCAGAAAUGUCAACUGGUCCUUUGGUUAUAUAUUGUGGUGACUCACAACACCGUGAAAAACAAUGCCUUCUGCCAUAAUAAAAGUCUAAUUAUUGCGUUAUAGCUUAAAAGUAUAAAAACUUGCAUUUGAAAGUAAGCAAACAUCAUUUUGAAUACUUUUUAGCAUUCUAAAUGCAACUGAAUUUGUGUUUUGCAAAGUUAAGAUAGCUAAAUACACUUAUUUCUUCAAAUAAUUUACUGCAGCUUAAAUUGAAGGAAAAAGUUAAUAAAACAUUUUAGUCAUUCUUGUGAAUUGAUGUUCCUUCUUCCCCAAAAUUUCAUGAAAUUUAGAUCUGGUGUGAUCUGGUCACAUUCAUUUUACCUUCAGAGACAAAGAUGAAAUUCUUCAAAAGCCACUUAAAAAAAUCCUUACAUUGAUAUAUUAUGCUAACAAUAACAUCAGGAGAGAAUCUGCCUUCCUACAAAAAUUUUAAAACUUUGCAAUCAGUCAUGCAUCUGAAAAAAUCGCUUUAAAGUGAACAGAGACAAAUGGGCUGCCCAUUUCACAGGCAGAACGGCAAAGACUUAGGCACCUGCUUUGUUGCACCGUUUCAGGAAAGAACUGGUUGUUCACUCUAAUCUGCUCAUCUCCCAUCUCUUGCUCCUUUCAUUGUGUUUUGUCAUAGAUUUUACCGUGGCAGAGAACUGAGCUUAACUACUCUGAAAAAAAUCCUAUUAGGUCUUACUUUAAUGUCAUUAUUUAGCAAUUUAAAAGUUACAGCCAUACAGCAAACAUUUUAAUGAAUUUAGAGACAGACACGAUGCCAUUGAAAAAUGUAGCACUGGCAAUCAUUUGAAUUAAACAUGCUUUACACUGAGGGCACAUGUUUAUAAAAUAUAUGUGACUGUUUUCUAAAUCUUCAGAUAACGUCUGUAGCAAAGUAUUUACUUAUGCAUUCUGAAAGUAUAUUUCUUUCACAUUCGCAUAAUAUCCAAGAAGGCUUGGAACUCCCAGUGUUAUAAAAUAGUAUAACUACCUUUCUGAAAGAACCACUUUUAUCCCGCCUGUUGCCACACAGAUUAAAUGAUUAUAGAUUUUUCUAAAUUUAUUCCAUCCUAAAUUUAUGCCCCUUUACACAGGCAAGAACAAACGGGUUUCAGUGUAAGAUGCUGAAAGUUUUAUGCCAUAUUUAAAUGUUUAAAAAUAUGAGUACCAGACAUUUACUAAUGUAUCAUCUCUAUUAAAUGUGUUAAAUUCCUCCAAUACAACUCUUAUUGAUAGUUUACAAAUCAGCUGGUCAAAGCAAUGUUAAUGUAGUAAAAUAGGUUAAACGUAAGUAUAUUAUGGUCAUUGCUCAUGUGAUAUAUAUCUUCAGAGAAAACCGGGUGCCUUGUAAGUUUUUCUGUAAACUCAAUAUAAAUGAAAUGCUGAUAAGAUUGACAUAAUUUUGAUAUAACUUUGACAUAUAUAUUUCUACAUAUUUUGAGACUUUAAAAAUAUAAUCACUAAAUACUCUUUGUACAGUACUGAGCGUUUUCAGUUAAGUUUAUUGGACUGAUACAAUCCUGUAAUAUGCUACUGAAGUUGAGUUCAAGUUUGUGGAGGGAAAUAUUGGAUACAUACAUACAUACAUACAUACAUACAUAUAUACAUACACACAUGGGUCAUCAGUUUUCACUGGGAAUCUUGGUAAUGGGAGUGGCAAUGUGCCUAUUGAAGAAUUUUGGAAAAUAGUCUAAUCAUCAACUUUAAAUUCUCAUUUUAAAAACGUGAUCAAAAAUAGAUAUCUGUUAAGUAGAGGAUCUGUAUUUAACCUAAGCCUCAUGGUAAUAGUUGAAGCUUGGCAUUCACCAAGUGUUUGCACUUGUUAUUACAGUAAUUUUAAUGCACUUUCUGCAUUAUUUGUAUUUUCAUUCCAUCUCCUUAGGACAUUGUUCUAAUAGAGCUAUAAUAUAGCUCUAUUAGGUAGUUUUCUUCCAGCACCAUAAAAUGUAGCCACUGAGUUUAGACUUAAAUAUAAAACCGCAAUUACAUUUGCACCAACCUAAUAUUUCAACUGAAUUAAGUUUUUGAAACUCAUAUAGAGGGAUUGAGAGAUUAUGAAGAAACAGAGAUUUCGGUUUUUUCUCCAUUAAGUUAUCUUCUGGGAGUUAACAUGGGUUUAUCAGUCAGUGACGAUCAAGCAAAAGAUGAAACCUUUUAUUCUUUAGUUUCUGUCUUGUCACCUGCCUGUUUGGUUUCUCUUAGUGUCAAGUAUGACUGAGCAUGACUUUCACUUAUAAUUUAUAGAAGAGGCAUAUAUGUUUGAAACUUGGGUGUUUUAUUGGGAGGCACCAUUAGUUUUUAAUAAGAAGAAAAAGUUUUUAGCACUAUAUAUAAGGAAAAAAUCAUAAUAUAAAAAAAUUAUUCUAGAUGAGUACAGCAGUGAAAAAUGUAUCUUGGGAUAUAAAUUUUAGCAGAAAUGAUGAGGAUGCAAGAUUUAUCCCAAAUCAUAUUUCCAACUUUGAGUAUUACUGUAAUUUAAUUUUUAUAUAUUAAUGCUGUAUUGGGUACAAACACCUUUACCUUUAACUCUCUUUAAUUACCACUUCUUUGUAUAAAAGUCUACCAAGAAUAUAGCUUAAUUAUAUAUGUAUAAUAUGAUUGUUUUCUGGCAUAUGUUAUAUGAUAUAUAUCUCAUAAAACAUAUUUUUAACAUGAGUACAGUUUUGCUCAUACAAUAUUCAGGGAUAGAUUUUAUCACUGAUUAUCCCAAAUUUUUUUUGAAGCCCCAGAGUCCUCAGAUAAUUUUCUAUAUGUUACUGUAUAGGACAGUUCUGCCAUAUAGCUUUAGAGAUAUUUAGUCAUAGAAAUAUAAUUGGGUAAGCUGCCCUACUAUUCACGUAAUUACCAUGAAACUUGUGAUAACUUCUAAAUACAAUAUGUUAUAUAAACUGUUUAUAUUGUUACCAAGGGAUUAAAACCAUGGGACAAGACAAACAUAGUCAUUCUUUAUAGUGGUCAAAAACUAUCUUUCAUGCUUUAAAGGACUUAUAUUUAGAACUUAUUAUGGAAAAAGGUGGAUGGAUCAAAAGUGGAUAUCAAGUGUGUGAAAAAUUAUUUACCAGAAUCACACUUACUAAGUAUUAUAAUAAGCAUACCUUUCUAAUUAUUAUUUUCCAAAGGUAGGAGAUUGGAGAGGCAUAACUAAACGUACCUGAUAUUAUUAGAAUAAAACAGUUGUCUAACUAGCAUUUUCAUUCUGAUAGGAAUAUGUUUCAUGAUUUUGAUUAUUUCACAGCACCCUUAACAAAUAGAAUUAUACUGUGUUUUCCAAUAUGAAUAUCUUAAAGGUUUUGAAAUAUAUGAUUGAUUAUGAUUAUCAGAACUUUGUGCCUAAACUAAAGGCAGCUAGCAGAUAGAAUACUGUUGGCAAACUGAGAGGCUGAAUACUGGUGUUGCAAAAAGUUUAAAUUGAUGUUACUUCCUAUAUACCCCCAAAUCAGUAUUAUUACCACUUUGCUAGUACUUUUAUUAUGAAUAUAAAUUAUAUUAGAUUCUUAUUCAACUUUCCAUGCUUAAAUUACAGUAUGUUCAAGAACUUGCUUUAGUAAUAAAUAUUGAUAAUUAUUGUGUGACAGAGAACUUUACUGGUAACAUUAGAUUUAGGACGUUAUUAUGCAAAACAGACAAUAAAACAAUCUCUACUCUGGGUCUAUAGAAUUUACUAAAUUAGUGCCCAUGGGCAUGUGAGAACAAAAAGUGUCCAUAUGUCAGCUUCAACUAUAUGACAGAGGGAGAAAAGUGAGGAGACACCUUUCCAUGAAUGUCUUCCCUCCAGUUUAUACCACCAGUUUUCUAAAUAAACUUUAUUUUAACAUUUUUUAAACCCGGACACUUUCAAUGAGAACCAAUCACAGUCACAAAUAUCAGUGUAUUAAUGGACUGCAUCAGUACUUUAUAUUUUUUCAUCUUAUAGCUCAAUCUAUCAUUCAUUAAGCAGAAAGAUUUAUUCACAUUACCUUUUUAAAAAUACUUCAGCAGUUACAUAGACUGAUUUUUAAUAGUUGUCUAUUAAAAAUAAAAUAAAAAUAAUAAAAAUAAAAUAAAAAUAAUAUAAAAAUAAUAAAAUAAAAAGUAAGAAUAAGUUGCUGAUGCACUUUUUAGGAUUUAAUUUUGUUAUUUAGAAGAUAAAUAUUUAUAGGUUUAAGUUUUGAUUGUAUAUAAAAUUAACAGCAGCAAGAAUAAAUAAUCCCAUAUUUCAGCCAAAAUGUCAACUAGAAAUGAUAAAUUGGCUUUCUUGUGUAUAUGUGUGUGUGUGUGUUUUAAUUUUCUGUAUCAAUUAGUAUGUACUAUCAGUAGAAUAUAAUAUUCUGAGAAGAUAAUAGUAUCUUGUUGAACAUAGAUUUAAAGGUGAAGCAGUUAUUAUUGAAAAAUAAGCAUGCCAAUUUACUUUCCAUCUCUAAGCCUUUUUCUUAAAGUAUAUUUACCUAAAUUUAAACAGCAUCUAUAAUAUUGAUAAAAAUUUUUAAAACAUAAAUGUCAAAUUAAGUGCUCAAUAAAUAUUAGGAUCCAUCUAUCUUUGAUCUCUUCUUAUUAUCAAAUAAAAAUCAGUACACUGAUAUCUUUCUUUUAAUAACAAAUAGGUGCAAGAUAGUCUAAGAGGUUAACAACCAGAAAAUAUUUGUUUUGUGAUGGGAUGUUCAUAAUUUCUUUUUCUCAUUUUCUUACAGAUUUAUUUUAAUUUCAUAUAGCAUAUAACAAUUCCUUAUGCAAAAUAAAUGUUUUUUUGAUAAAAUUAAAUACACUAAAGUGUCUUCAGUUCUUAAGUGUGUUGCCUAUAGAUUUGAAUUUCAAAAGUAUUAAAUUUAUAUUUUGCAUGUGUCAUUAUUUUUAUUGUAGGUUUUUUCCCAAAUACAGGUCCUCUUGUGUUAUCAUUGUGAAGUUUUUUAUUCCUACUUUUCACAUUAAUACUUUUCCAUACAACUUAAUUAUUUUGCUUUUUAUAUUCAGAGCAGAGUUGACAAUAUUGCAGUUAUUGCCAACUUUAUUUUAUUUUGACUUAAAAUGUGUUAAACUCACAUAAAGUAUUAACACUCAUAAUAAAUAUUUUUCUAAAAUUAUUUGUGUGAGUCAAAUUUGUUAGUGAUUUCUUCAAAAUUUUACUUGUAACUGCGGGAUCAAAAUAAAAAAGGUUAAUUUUCAUAUAAUUAAAGGUCAGUGAUUUUUUUAAUGCUUACAAUUUGUUUACUUCAAGAAAUCUAAUAACAUUUUCAACAAAAUGGUGUUUAUUACUUGUGAACCUUAUGCUUUCUAAAAUUUUGCUUUUGAAACAUUCACAGUGAGGAAUUUGAACAAAGAAAGCAAAAAUUUAAUGGUUAUCAUACAUAUAUUAAAUUAAAUUUCAAGAAAUGAAAACUUUGUGAUAAUAACAAAUUAUAAAACAUAGAAAUCUCAGUAUUUGUUUUCAGAGAUUUUGAGGGAAAACUAACCUCAAAAUAGUAAAGUAUAAGAAAUGUUAACAGUCGUCUUAAGUGUUCAGGUCCUUAUUACGGAGUUUGGGAAAGUUUAUGUCCAAAUUGUUAUGCUAGUAAUAUUUACAUAGAAUGAUUUAUAAAUUUAUUUUUUAAGAAAGUCUUAUUUCAGCCACUAUUGUUUUAUACAAUAUUGGUAGUUCCAGUUUAGUCUAUUUUAAAAUGUAAACCUUAUAGCACUUAAAAAUUUUGUUGUUGAUAUAUUUAAAUAAAAGAGUGCACGUACCAACAGUACAAAUGAAACAAUUAUCAUAAUGAUGCUGCUUUUGAGAUAACAAAAACAGAGAGAAAUUUGAAGUUACAAGUACCUUUGAAACAGAAUUCACACUCGAAUCUGCUUUAGCAUGAAUUGCACAUGAAUAAAAUUAUCUGCUUAAUGUUCUCUUUAAUUUUUAAAUAUCAGAUAAUGUGAUUUGGGAAAAAUCUCGAUUAAAAAUAUUAUUGUAUGGUAAGAUUCUUUGCAUUUUCCUGUUUCUGGAGCUUGGUCAUUUUAUUUUAGUGAGUUACUAUUUCGAAUCAGUGUGUGAUUAGAAUUAAAUUGAAAAGGAUUUGCAACAGUUCCUAUUUGUGUGGAUCAGCUUUUCAUAACCCCAAAGAAAUUAUAGAAAAUUAAUUUUUAAAUUGUUUGAGAAGACCAACAACCAUAACAAUAAGGGACAGUGGUUUCGCUCAUUAUGUAAUAUCAUUUAUAAAAUUACAACUGACAUAUCAAUUCAAAAAUUAUUUCUGAUGUUCUAAAUAAGUAUAUAUUGACAGAUUUUUUUUGUAAAAUGUUUUCCAUUUUGUAAUGCAGAAGAGUUUAAAAUGUGAAUAAUAUGCAAAACAUUUUAGUAAAUAAUGUUUUUAUAUACAAUUAAGAAAAACAUACGCCUCUAGGCAAAAGAAUAAGCAAGUCACCUCAGAAAUCUCUUCAAAUUUCAAAAACUGGUCAAGAAAUAAUGGAUAAGAAGACCCCCAUGCGUACUAUGAGACCAAAUCUAUAGAUCUGUGAGAAAAAGAAUCUCUAUCAAAAAGGAUAGAAUAUAUUCCCAAGGCAGCAGCUCCAAUCAUACUGACAGUCUUAACAAUGUCUAUGAGAUAAAUGUUUCUAAUUGUGUAUGGAAAACAUGCAAACGGAACCAGAAUCUGAAGGGCAAUGUUUGGUAAUACUCACAUGGGUGCCCGCCGGGAAAGAAAGUAGUUGCUAGCUUUCUGAAUACUUGAUGCUGCAGGCCUGCAUGGUCUGAUGGCAUUAGGAGUGUAUCAUAUAAAUAGAAUAAUGUAUUCUAAUUCAUGCCACCAAGCCACCUUCAGAUAAUCUGUUUCCUCUUGCCCAUUUUCUUUAGUGAAGUAAGGUGUUCAGGGUGCUUCUGCAGGCAGCAGGCAAGAGCUCCAGGCUCCUAUUUGAUUUUGAUUACAAAUUAGUAAAUCGGCAUAAUAGGUUAUAUAUUUCAUUUCCUUGUGAAUGUUAGUGCGAGUCAUCAUCCUCAAAUUUAAUUAGAUCUGCAACACUGACACAUACUGUAAACCAAACCUGUAAGACCAAGGUCACCAAAAUAGUGCCAAACCUGAAACCUGUUCAUCAGCGACCUCUGAGAGAAUCCUUCAUGUCACUACUGAGAACGUUUAUUUUGAAGACUACAAAGACAAAACAUGGAGUACAGGAAUACUUACUCUUUUGGUUUAAUACUUUUUAUUAAAAUAACAUGAAAAUUAAAAAGAAAAUUAGUUGAGGGAACAAAAAAGGAAUAAAAAUUUGGGAUAAGUAACAUGGUCAGAAGAAAGAUGCUCAAAAAUAUUUGUAUUGUAGUAUUUAUUAGGGCUUUUAAUUAUUUGCCCCCACAGAACCAAUAUUCAAUAUUAAAACUAUAGUCUUUACAAUAUUUAUUAAAUGAAAUUUUAAAGAUCAAUUUAGAAGAGAAGUCACAUUUUACCAUUCAUUAUACAUUCACUCUGUGUAUCGUUUUACAGUUUGCUUUUCUGCUCUUCAUGAUUUUAAAAUUUUUUCUUUGUUCAUACAUUUAGAACUAGUUCAUUCAUUAUAACCAUUGUUCAGUAUUCCAUUAUAUGAUUAUGAUGAAAUCACAAUUUCAGCAUUUCUUUUCUGACUUCUGAAAUAGUUCUUAAGUGUAAUAAUGCAUUAAAAUACAAACUACAAAUGCAAAAUACAAUACAAAACAAUUCUAUAAGAUAAAUGUGAGUGAUAUUGUGGUAUAUUAUAUAUAUUUUUUAUGUAUGUCGAUUAUGCUAUAUUUAUCAUAACAUUUUGCAUAACAUUUUUUAAAAUUAAAAUUCUGAAGCCAUUAAACCUUUCACUACAACAUCAUUUUCAUAGUCACAUGUUAUUUCAUUCUAUGGAUCUAGCAAAAGUUAAAUUUAACAAUUUGUUAUGGUUGGAUAUUUCAGUUGUUUAAAUUGUGCACAUUAGAAAGAAAGCUAAAUGAACAAUUUUACUAUUGUUUGUAUCUUUGUUGACAUCCCAAAAUAUUUAUUUAGGAAAAAUUUUAAAAAGUUAAAUUACAUUAGUGUAUGCUUGGAUAUUUUUUAUUUUUAAUAUGAUUGAGAUAACAGCUUUCGUAAGCAUUUUCUUGAAUAAUUGGACCCUCCAUACUGUUGUGGUUCACUCUUGGGGAA